AUCUUAGUUCCCUCACCAGGGAUCAAACCCAUGCACCCUGAAUUGGAAGCACGGUGUCUUAACCACUGGACUGCCAGGAAAGUCCCCUGAGAACCAGUUUUAAUGAGAUGCUUCUUGCUAACUCCAUUAGCUAUCUGGCAAUAUGAAGCUGUCUACAAGAAGACAAAUCACAAGGAAAUAGUACUUUCUGAAUGGGGUCAGUUUCUUUAUCUGCUGGGACCAGAGUCAACCCCUUUCCCAGCUGAAGUUACUCUGAGCCAAAAGAAGCAGCCUCUCUGUCCUUAUGUGGAAACUUCUCCAUAGCCCGUGAAAUGGGUCUGAGCCUUAUGGCCAUGACUGCUGCACUUCUAUUUAUUAUCAGAAUUGGAUGCUGAACAUUUUCUUCUUGCUCCUGUUGGCUAAGAGCAGCCCUACCGCCUCCUUAUAACUGAGCCAGUUACCUGCCAGGACAGUGAUGCCUUGCCUUGCCUACUGUUCUCUUGACACAAGGAGUCAAAAGUAACCCCCUGCCAGCCAUAGUUAAAAAUUUAAUGGGAACCUUGCUGGGUCCUCUGUUGGAAGCCCUUCUCUCUGAAAAACAGAACCCUUAAAUCCAUAAAGCUCAGAGUUAUGGGCAUGGGAAACAUAAAUUUCACAAGUGGGUGGCUAGGAGUGAUGGUGAGUGGGUGAUUCCUAAUUCUGCCCCUUGGUUUCUGGACCCAUGUAUUCUACCUACUGAAGACACAGCACUAUGUUACAGCAGUUUGUUUACAGCUUUCAAAUUUUUAGUCUCAGGACUCCUUUAUACUCUUAAAAAUUAUUGAGGACCCCCACAGAGCUUUUGUUUAUGUGGGUGAUAACUAUUAAUAUUGUAUUAGAAUUCAAAACUGAGAACAUUUUGAAAUGCUUCUUUUCAUUUGAAGAUAACAGUGAGGAACACACAGCAGGUUAACAGAAAUAACAUCUUAGCAUAAUUAUUACGAAAUUACUUUUGACCUGGUGGAACUCUGAGAUCCAUCCUAAAAUGUCAUAUUGUUCCAGAAUAUGAAGGAGAAUGAUAAGGGACAAAAUUUGGUAAGUGAAUUUUACUUGCUUUGGCUUGUAACACUUGAAUCUUAAAAGAAGCUAUGGAAUGUGUUAAAAUGUUGGUAAAGUUUGAUCCAGUUUUAUGGGCUUUGCCUCCUUGAUUAACUGAUGAAUGCCUUUGCCAACAAUAUGAAGGGUUAUUCUUCACUUUCUGUGUAAUCUACCUUCAUAGCAAAAAUACUUUAUGUUAGCUUUGUUAUAUCCUUGAUUAUUUAGGAAAAAAGAAUCUCAGUUAUAAAAGAAGUUACAUAUACUUUAUAAUCAUUUUACUUUCUAUUUUUUUCAGUAAAUUUUUUUAUUUUUAUUUUGAUUAAAUAGCUAACUAUCGUUUUUCAGGCACCCAUCA